rnacentral:piRNA from 1 species
UGGGAGCAGAGAAUGGGGAGGGUGGAGA